UUUAUACGACCGCAAAAAAAUUUUGUGGUCGUAUAUUGGUAUGACGUUGGCGUCGUCGUCGUCCGGCGUCGUCGUCGUCGUCGUCUGGCGUCGUCCGAAGACACAUUGGUUUUCGCACUCUAACUUUAGUUUAAGUGAAUGGAUCUUUUUGAAAUUUGACCAUAAGGUUAAAUACCACAAAAGGAAGGUUGGGAUUGAUUUUGGGGGUUAUGGUACCAACAGUUAAGGAAUUAGGGGCCAAAAAGGGGCCAAAAAUAAGCAUUUUCUAGUUUCCAGACAAUAACUGUGGAACGGUGUAUGGAUCUCUCUGAAAUUAUACUACAAGUUUCCAUACCACAAAGGGAUGGUAAGGAUUUGCUUUGGGGGGUUAUGGCUCAAACCGUUUAAGAAUUAGGGGCAAAAAAGGGGGAAAAACAAGGUUGUCCUGGUUAAUGGACAAAUACUUUAGUACAAAACAUAAUUUAAAGCAGUGUAAGGGAGAUAAAUCAAAUACAUCAUUGAAAUUAUCUCCCUUACACUGCUUUUAAAUUAUGUAUAAAGUAAUGGUAAAUGAACAAUUAAGAUAAUUUAAAACAGUGUAAGGGAGGUAAUCCAAAUACAACAUUUUUGUUACUUCCCUUACACUGCUUUUAAAUUAUGUUUAAAGAAAUGCAUAUUUAUAAAGGAAGACCAGUAAAAAUAUCUGCAAAUGUUGCAUCUUUUUUUUUUACAAAAAAAUCCAUAUGAAAGAUUUGACACUAUAUUUUAAAUUCUAUUAUAAAAUAGAUUAAGUUAGCACUAUGGUAAAUUUAAAUGGGUAAUUAUGGUUUGGGGGGAAAAAAGGGGGGGGGGGGUAAAAAGAAAUUGUGGGGGGUCAAUUUUUUCUCAUUUCAGAUUUCAGAAAUUAAAAAGAAUUAUUCUUCAAAUAUUAUUUUUUUUUUUCAAAUUUCAAAUAUUGAAAAAUUUCAAGAAGUAAUCUUUAAUUGCACAGUAUGGCGCAUUAGAUUUGUAAAAUCUUUGACCACAUUUAUUUAUUUGUUAUGCCGAAUCUAACUGUGUAUUUAGAUUUUUGUCGAGCCUGCGACUUUUGUCGCAGAAAGCUCGACAUAGGGAUAGCGAUCCGGCGGCGGCGGCGGCGUUAGCUAACUUCUUAAAAGCUUUAUAUUUUAGAAGGUGGAAGACCUGGAUGCUUCAUACUUUGUAUAUGGAUGCCUCAUGUUACGAAGUUUCCGUCAGUCACAUGUCCAAUUUCCUUGACCUCAUUUUCAUGGUUCAGUGACUACUUGAAAAAAAAGUUCAGAUUAUUUGUAAUGUUAAAUUCUCUCUUAUUAUAAGUAAUAGGAUAACUAUAUUUAGUAUGUGCGUACCUUGCAAGGUCCUCAUGCCUGUCAGACAGUUUUCACUUGACCUCGACCUCAUUUCAUGGAUCAGUGAACAAGGUUAAGUUUUGGUGGUCAAGUCCAUAUCUCAGAUACUAUAAGCAAUAGGUCUAGUAUAUUUGGUGUAUGGAAGGACUGUAAGGUGUACAUGUCCAACUGGCAGGUGUCAUCUGACCUUGACCUCAUUUUCAUGGUUCAGUGGUUAUAGUUAAGUUUUUGUGUUUUGGUCUGUUUUUCUUAUACUGUAUGCAAUAGGUCUAUUAUAUUUGGUGUAUGGAAUGAUUGUAAGGUGUACAUGUCCAACUGGCAGGUGUCAUCUGACCUUGACCUCAUUUUCAUGGUUCAGUGGUUAUAGUUAAGUUUUUGUGUUUUGGUCUGUUUUUCUUAUACUGUAUGCAAUAGGUCUAUUAUAUUUGGUGUAUGGAAUGAUUGUAAGGUGUACAUGUCCAACUGGCAGGUGUCAUCUGACCUUGACCUCAUUUUCAUGGUUCAGUGGUUAUAGUUAAGUUUUUGUGUUUUGGUCCGUUUUUCUUAUACUUUAUCCAAUAGGUCUACUAUAUUUGGUGUAUGGAAUGAUUGUAAGGUGUACAUGUCCAACUGGCAGGUGUCAUCUGACUUUGACCUCAUUUUCAUGGUUCAGUGGUCAAAGUUAAGUUUUUGAGUUUUGGUCUUUUUUCUUAUACUAUUAUGCAAUAAGUCAACUAUAUUUGGUGUAUGGAAAUAUUCUAUGAUGUACAUGUCAGUCUCGCAGGUUUUAUUUGACCUUGACCUCAUUUUCACAGUUCAUUGCUCAGUGUUAAGUUUAUGUGUUUCAGUCUGUUUUUCUUAAACUAUAAGCAAUAGGUCAGCUAUAUUUGUUGUAUGGAAGGAUUGUAAGCUGUUCAUGUCUGCCUGGCAUGGUUCAUCUGACUUUGACCUCAUUUUCACGAUUCAUUGGUCAAUGUUUAGUUUUCUUGGUUAAGUCUGUUUCUUAGAAACUAUAAGCAAUAGGUCAACUAUAUUUAGUGUAUUGAAUGAUUGUAAGGUGUACAUGUAUUUCUUGUUUGGUUUAUAUGACCUUGACUUCAUUUUCUUGGAUCAUGUUAAGUUUAUGUAAUAGUUGUAGUAAAGCUUUCAUUUAGGACUAUCAACAUAAUAUCAAUGGUUAGUAAAGAAGGCGAGACAUUUCAGCGUGUCCACUCUUGUUAAU